CUUUGUUGCUGCAGGUACAUGUCCGCUCCGGGUCCUCUCGCGUUCGCGGCGCAGUCACGGUUGUGCAACAGUGUCUCCCUGUUACAAACCCAAUCUUUCCUUUAACGGAACCGGGUUGAGUGUUGCUGCUGUGACGUCGUGGUUUCGAUGGUCUCCUCUCGGCCUGACGUCACGCCGCGCUGCCUGUGAACGCUGGUUUCAGAUCCAGGAUGAGUUUCCCAGAAUCUCAACGUGCAGCUUGAAUCAAAGUUCAUGUCCGAGCAGGAGGAACCCACUCUCAAUCUUCUCAACCUCUUCCACUCAAAGUGCAGCCAUGGAGCUGAGGCUGAAGGCUAAACGCAUCCCACUCAAGGAUGCUGGUGAAGACGCUGUUUCACGGGACCUUAUAAUACAAAACAUGAAAAUCUACAGGAACAAGACGAACACGUCGGAGAGUCCAGACGUCUGUAUCGUGUUGGAUGGACCAAAAGUUCUGACUGCACUGAGGGACUUUGCAAGGGCUUGCUGUCUGCUGGUUGGGUUUGCGUAUGCAGUCAAUCUUGCACACUCAAAGAAACUUAAACACAUUUAAGGUUGUCCAAGUUUUCUUGG
ensembl:lncRNA